GGGUACACGAAAACAGAAAUAGAGAGGCGAUGAAAGAGAGGGAGGCGACGAGCACACAGGGAAAGAAGCAGAGAAAGAGGCAUAAUGGCGAACUCAGCAUCGAUUCUGCCAAGUUUACGGUUGAAUCCAACCAAAAUCCCGAUUUACACAUAAAACCCAAAAGUACCCACUCCCAAUAAACUGUUUCUUCUUCUUUGCCUCUUCCUCCGUGUUGAAGCCGUUUUCUCUGCCUCUCUCAAUUCUCAAAACCCCUAAACCUUAGCUCAUCACUGCUCUCUCACUCCUUCAGCAUCCCACCGCCGUCAUAUACCGUAGUAUAUCUGGAAGGUUUGCUUAGUUAUUUGCCAAGAACAAAACUAGGGUAAUUUACAAGAAGAAGUUGCUGGAACAAACUGAUAGGAAUAUAGGACCGACACAGAAGAUCAGCCUCAAGCCAAAUGGUCGACCUGUCAAGGUUGGAUUCUUCUUCGCAGAACUCUCAGAUAUUGAUAUGGAGAACUUGAAGGCAGAUGUAUUUCAUUUAUUAGAAAUUGAUAUUUUAACAUUUAUUAGAUAUCUGAGAUGUUAAGGAUUGGAAUCCUAUUUUAAUUUAAAUUUAAUUUGAUUGAUAUUUUACAUUUACUAAUGUAAUGUUUCCUAUGAAGGAUAGGAAUUCCUAAGAUUGAAAUCCUAAUGUACAAUUAAAGAGAAAGAAACAAAGAAUUGUUUAAAUCUUCAUACGCAGAGAUAUAGUCUGGAAAGCACAGAGAGAUAGGCUGCAUACCCAUUACCCCAUAAUCGAUACAAAGGACAAGCUGUUUCUUCUGGAGCUUAUUAGGCAUGUGUAUAUCUGUCAGUUUUUUCUAAGAUUGGUGGAUGAAUGAUAUUUACCUAGAUGUAUUUUUCCAGAUUAUUUUGAUACUUGGCUAUUGUGGUUUAAGUCCAAAUAGUGCAACUGGUAGAGCAAAGGCCAGGCAUUAUUAAAAAAUUGUAAAUAUCAUCUCUCAGACUCAGUGUCUCACACAUAAUAAACAUUGGUGGCCACACGGAGACUAGGUUGGAAGUUUAUUUUCAACUCCAAAAUUGAUUUUUUUGGCUUUGGUUUUCAGGUGUGAAAUAUUUUGUGUGGUGAAGUAUGAUUGUGAUUAUGUAAAAAUUGCUUGGGUUUAAAAGGGGCUGGUGCUUAUGGUUAUCCCCUAGCGUUGAACUUUGUCAUAAAUUGAGUGUAAAAAAUCAAUAAUCCAGAAUUUUGAAGUUCAUUUUGAGUUAGAU